rnacentral:rRNA from 1 species
CAGCCGCCACGGGAAUACGAAGGGUGCAAGCGUUACUCGGAAUUACUGGGCGUAAAGCGUGCGCAGGCGGCUUUGCAAGACAGAUGUGAAAUCCCCGGGCUCAACCUGGGAACUGCAUUUGUGACUGCAAGGCUAGAGUGCGGCAGAGGGAGAUGGAAUUCCGCGUGUAGCAGUGAAAUGCGUAGAUAUGCGGAGGAACACCGAUGGCGAAGGCAAUCUCCUGGGCCUGCACUGACGCUCAUGCACGAAAGCGUGGGGAGCAAACAGGAUUAGAUACCCCAGUAGUCCCUGUCUCUUAUAC